UCCCGCUUACACGGGCAGUUUCCGAAGAGUUCCCGACUUUACGCUGGCAACAUCGGAUGAGGGUUGCGCUCGUUGCGGGACUUAACCCAACAUCUCACGACACGAGCUGACGACAGCCAUGCAACACCUGUCUUAGGGCUCCCGAAGGCACUCCGAACUUUCAUCCAGAUUCCCUAGAUGUCAAGCCUGGGUAAGGUUCUACGGUUAGUGACGUAUUAAACCACAUGCUCCACCGCUUGUGCGGGCCCCCGUCAAUUCCUUUGAGUUUCAACCUUGCGGUCGUACUCCCCAGGCGGGAUACUUAAUGCGUUAGCUCCGGCACUAGAGGGGUCGAUACCUCUAACACCUAGUAUCCAUCGUUUACGGCUAGGACUA
rnacentral:misc_RNA from 1 species